GACGAACGCUGGCGGCGUGCUUAACACAUGCAAGUCGAACGGUGAAGCGCCUUCCUUUUUGGUGGGUGUGGAUGAGUGGCGAACGGGUGAGUAACACGUGAGUAACCUGCCCCCUUCUUCUGGAUAACCGCAUGAAAGUGUGGCUAAUACGGGAUAUUCUGGGUCUGUCGCAUGAUGGGUCUGGGAAAGAUAUUGUUUCGGUGGGGGAUGGGCUCGCGGCCUAUCAGCUUGUUGGUGGGGUGAUGGCCUACCAAGGCGGUGACGGGUAGCCGGCCUGAGAGGGUGGACGGUCACACUGGGGCGGAGACGCGGCCCAGACUCCGACGGGAGGCAGCAGCGGGGAAUAUUGCACAGUGGGCGCAAGCAUGAUGCAGCGACGCCGCGUGAGGGAUGGAGGCCUUCGGGUUGUGAACCUCUUUCGCCAGUGAAGCAGGCCUGCCUCGUUUGUGGGUGGGUUGACGGUAGCUGGAUAAGAAGCGCCGGCUAACUACGUG
rnacentral:rRNA from 1 species